rnacentral:rRNA from 1 species
UACGGAGGGGGCUAGCGUUGUUCGGAAUUACUGGGCGUAAAGCGCACGUAGGCGGCUUUGUAAGUUAGAGGUGAAAGCCCGGGGCUCAACUCCGGAACUGCCUUUGAUACUGGCGACCUUGAGGCCGGAAGAGGUUAGUGGAAUUCCCAGUGUAGAGGUGAAAUUCGUAGAUAUUGGGAAGAACACCAGUGGCGAAGGCGGCUAACUGGUCCGGAUCUGACGCUGAGGUGCGAAAGCGUGGGGGGCAAACAGGG